GUAGGUAUAGUUCAGUGGUAGAACACAUGCUUAGCAUGCACGAGGUCCUGGGUUCAAUCCUCAGUACCUCCA
rnacentral:tRNA from 1 species